AGCGAACGCUGGCGGCAGGCCUAACACAUGCAAGUCGAACGAACCCUUCGGGGUUAGUGGCGGACGGGUGAGUAACACGUGGGAACGUGCCUUUAGGUUCGGAAUAACUCAGGGAAACUUGUGCUAAUACCGAAUGUGCCCUUCGGGGGAAAGAUUUAUCGCCUUUAGAGCGGCCCGCGUCUGAUUAGCUAGUUGGUGAGGUAAUGGCUCACCAAGGCUACGAUCAGUAGCAGGUCUGAGAGGAUGACUAGCCACAUUGGGACUGAGACACGGCCCAAACUCCUACGGGAGGCAGCAGUGGGGAAUCUUGCGCAAUGGGCGAAAGCCUGACGCAGCCAUGCCGCGUGGAUGAUGAAGGUCUUAGGAUUGUAAAAUCCUUUCACCGGUGAAGAUAAUGACUGUAGCCGGAGAAGAAGCCCCGGCUAACUUCGUGCCAGCAGCCGCAGUAAGAC
rnacentral:rRNA from 1 species